rnacentral:rRNA from 1 species
ACUCCUACGGGAGGCAGCAGUGGGGAAUCUUGCGCAAUGGGCGAAAGCCUGACGCAGCGAUGCCGCGUGCGGGAUGAAGGCCUUCGGGUUGUAAACCGCUUUCAGCAGGGACGAAAUUGACGGUACCUGCAGAAGAAGCCCCGGCCAACUACGUGCCAGCAGCCGCGGUAAUACGUAGGGGCGAGCGUUGUCCGGAUUUAUUGGGCGUAAAGAGCUCGUAGGCGGUUCGGUAAGUCGGAUGUGAAAUCUCCACGCUCAACGUGGAGAGGCCAUUCGAUACUGCCGUGACUCGAGUCCGGUAGGGGAGUGUGGAAUUCCCGGUGUAGCGGGUGAAAUGCGCAGAGAUCGGGAGGAACACCCGUAGCGAAGGCGGCCCCUGGACAGAUACUGACACUCAGAUGCGAAAGCGUGGGGGAGCAAACAGGAUUAGAUACCCUGGUAGGU